ACCCUCCAGAUUCCAUCCUCAUUUAAGUUCAACAUUGGUCUGAGUGGCUAUAAUAAGAGAGAAAGGAAAGCUGAAACGGACGUGGAUUCUUUUGUGACAGGCAAGCUAGUUUCAAACAAAC
rnacentral:snoRNA from 1 species